ACCUUAAAUUUUUUUUUCAUGUUUCAUCAAAAAUAUGUAUGAACUUAUGAAAAUUAGUAAUGGGAAACCUGACAAAAUGGACACAGGAUGUUUUGUUAGGGGCAGCUCUCCCACUCUACCAUGGCAAAUUAAUUGUAGACACAACAGGAAGAGAAAGACUUGACCUUAGAAAGACUUGACCUUGCUUGUGGAUACUAAUCCACUACUCCAGCCAGAGGGAAGAAACUCUUUCCUCACUACCACCAUCUCUGCAACAGCUCAGACAAUGAGAAGCCACCACAUUUCAAACCCCCAUUUUACUCCAAUGGACUUUUAAUCAGCCUUCCCUACUUACCCCUUUUCUCCUUAAAGAAGCAUUCCCCUCCUUUGUUUCCUGUACUUGCUUACAGUUUUGCCCAGCUUAUAUGUCCCAGAUUACAAUUCUCUUUCAUUCCUCAAUAAAACCAUCUUCUUCUGGUAAAAUAACUGGUGUUUUCUAUUUUUAAGGUUGACAAUUCUUGGUGACCAGAAGUGGGAUCCAGAGAAGACCACAACUGCUCCAGAGCUGGCUAGCAAACGGAAUUUAUGGAUCAAAAUCAUCCCAUCUUUUCAGAAUGCAUCCCACAGGAGUAUUGGCCUUGGUUGGGGAAUUACCCAUCUACAGGAAAAGGAAGAAGAGGCACCCCUUAUCUUAAUUUUCCAUAGCUGGCCAGGAGAAGCCUCAUGUCCUGACCCUGAUAGUUGGACAGGAGAAGAAGCCUCAUUUCCUGGCCCUGCAUUUUGUCUGGCUAUUCGACUGGCAGCCAAAAGCUUUGUCAGUCUCAUGAGAUGCUGGGAGCAGUCACUCUUAUCCAGGCUUGACCCUACCUCCGAGAAUUGACCUUCUCUUCCCUGAUUUCUCUUAUCCCUCCGUUUUCCCCCUGCAGGACUUUGGGGGUAUCGACUACGACCAAGCAAGACUUCCCUGGUUGUAGAAGGAUGCACUAAUUUUAUUUUGGCCCAACAGUAAUUGUCCUUACAAAUAUAUUUUAAAAGGCUUGCGAAAACUAUUUUUUGUAAGGAUAAAAUUGGCUGCCAAGAGGGCUAAGAGGGACAAAGUAGAAGUCUAUUUCCUUGCCUUUUCAGCAAUGCCCACAGAAAUAUGUUCCAGCCAUUUAGAGUAUCUAGGUUGUUACAAAUUGGCAGACACUGGGCUAAGUAUAGCAAAAUGGCUCCUGUGUAUUCUAGUACAAGCUCUUUAUAUAUUAUAGUGAUCUAUCCCUUAAAUGGCACAGGCAUCCAUUCCUGUUCUAAACAGAAACAACCCAAAUGUGGAGCAUUUGGAGUCUGGCAGCGAGGACACUGUCACCACCUCCCCAGCCUUUGGAUCAAAGGAGGGGAAAUUUCAACCAAGGCUUGAAUAAAACAAAUCAAAAGGG